CUCUCCCUUCAGUCAAAACACUUUCUCAGUUAUUUUAUUUUUUUGAAACUCUCAAGCUCUACUAGAAGAAAUCAACGGAAGCUUAGGAAGAAGAAGAAGAUGUCGUGGCAAGCUUAUGUUGAUGAUCACUUGCUGUGUGAUAUCGAAGGCAACCAUCUCACUGCCGCGGCUAUCAUCGGCCAAGACGGCAGCGUUUGGGCCCAGAGCUCCAAUUUCCCUCAGUUUAAGAUGGAAGAAAUCACGGGCAUCAUGAAUGACUUCAAUGAGCCUGGAUCACUUGCCCCGACUGGAUUGUACCUUGGUGGCACUAAAUACAUGGUGAUCCAAGGUGAACCAGGAGCCGUUAUUCGAGGGAAGAAGGGACCUGGAGGUGUUACCGUUAAAAAGACCAAUCAGGCCUUGAUCAUUGGAAUCUAUGAUGAACCAAUGACCCCCGGGCAGUGCAACAUGGUUGUCGAAAGGCUCGGUGAUUAUCUGAUUGAGCAGGGUCUUUGAUCUCUUUGCUGUGUCCUUUAUUUGUAGCAAUUCUUCUUGGCAUUUAUACAGAAGUGCUCUUGGUUACCUCAUGUUGUAAUUUUUGGUGUUUGUAAGUCAUGCUUAUGAUCUCCUGCUCUGUUUACGAACUUGUUUCGUGGAUGGUGUUAUUGAAGGUCUGAGUUUAUGUUGGCUUUCUCUAA